GACGAACGCUGGCGGCGUGCUUAACACAUGCAAGUCGAACGGAAAGGCCCUGCUUUUGUGGGGUGCUCGAGUGGCGAACGGGUGAGUAACACGUGAGUAACCUGCCCUAGACUUUGGGAUAACUUCAGGAAACUGGGGCUAAUACCGGAUAGGAGCUCCUGCUGCAUGGUGGGGGUUGGAAAGUUUCGGCGGUUGGGGAUGGACUCGCGGCUUAUCAGCUUGUUGGUGGGGUAGUGGCUUACCAAGGCUUUGACGGGUAGCCGGCCUGAGAGGGUGACCGGCCACAUGGGGACUGAGAGACGGCCCAGACUCCUACGGGAGGCAGCAGUGGGGAAUAUUGCACAAUGGUCGGAAGCCUGAGGCAGCAACGCCGCGUGCGGGAUGACGGCCUUUGGGGUGUAAACCGCUUUCGCCUGUGACGAAGCGUGAGUGACGGUAAUGGGUAAAGAAGCACCGGCUAACUACGUG
rnacentral:rRNA from 1 species